UACAGAGGGUGCAAACGUUGUUCGGAAUUACUGGGCGUAAAGCGCGUGUAGGCGGCCCUGCAAGUCGGGUGUGAAAUCCCACGGCUCAACCGUGGAAGUGCACUCGAAACUGCAGGGCUAGAGUCCUGGAGAGGAAGGUGGAAUGCUUGGUGUAGAGGUGAAAUUCGUAGAUAUCAAGCGGAACACCGGUGGCGAAGGCGGCCUUCUGGACAGUGACUGACGCUGAGACGCGAAAGCGUGGGGAGCAAACAGG
rnacentral:rRNA from 1 species